rnacentral:rRNA from 1 species
AAUGUAAGCAUCGGCUAACUCCGUGCCAGCAGCCGCGGUAAUACGGAGGAUGCAAGCGUUAUCCGGAAUCAUUGGGCGUAAAGAGUCCGUAGGUGGCACUUCAAGUCUGCUUUCAAAGACCGAAGCUCAACUUCGGAAAGGGAGUGGAAACUGAAGAGCUAGAGUAUAGUAGGGGUAGAGGGAAUUCCUAGUGUAGCGGUGAAAUGCGUAGAGAUUAGGAAGAACACCAGUGGCGAAGGCGCUCUACUGGGCAUAUACUGACACUGAGGGACGAAAGCUAGGGGAGCGAAAGGGAUUAGAUACCCCUGUAGUCCUAGCGGUAAACGAUGGAUACUAGGCGUAGUGCUGUUAGAGGGACUGUGCCGAAGCUAACGCGUUAAGUAUCCCGCCUGGGGAGUACGCACGCAAGUGUGAAACUCAAAGGAAUUGACGGGGACCCGCACAAGCGGUGGAGUAUGUGGUUUAAUUCGAUGCAACGCGAAGAACCUUACCAAGGCUUGACAUCCUGCGAAUCUUGGAGAAAUCUGAGAGUGCCUAAGGGAACGCAGAGACAGGUGGUGCAUGGCUGUCGUCAGCUCGUGUCGUGAGAUGUUGGGUUAAGUCCCGCAACGAGCGCAACCCUCGUCCUUAGUUGCCAGCAUUAAGUUGGGGACUCUAGGGAGACCGCCGGGGAGAACUCGGAGGAAGGUGGGGAUGACGUCAAGUCAGCAUGCCCCUUACGUCUUGGGCUACACACGUACUACAAUGGUUGGGACAAAGGGGAGCGAAACCGCGAGGUGGAGCGAAUCUCAUCAAACCCAGCCACAGUUCAGAUUGCAGGCUGAAACUCGCCUGCAUGAAGGAGGAAUCGCUAGUAAUCGCAGGUCAGCAUACUGCGGUGAAUCCGUUCCC